rnacentral:rRNA from 1 species
UAUUCCUACGGGGCGCAGCAGUAGGGAAUCUUCCACAAUGGACGAAAGUCUGAUGGAGCAACGCCGCGUGAGUGAAGAAGGGUUUCGGCUCGUAAAGCUCUGUUGGGAGGGAAGAAAGAUAGAGGUAGGAACUGGCCUUUAUUUGACGGGAAUUACUUAGAAAGUCACGGCUAACUACGUGACAGCAGCCGCGGUAAUACGUAGGUGGCAAGCGUUGUCCGGAUUUAUUGGGCGUAAAGCGAG